CAACAGGGAAGGAGGUGGUCCGAGAAAUGGUGAAUUUCAGGACUGAGGAGGUGGCCGCCGCCUGACCGACUGACUGACGUCAGACGGCGGUUGCCCACCUGAAAUGACGGCAGGCCCCGAGCACGUGAAGUUCACGCGCUCGGGGCCUGCCCGCA
rnacentral:sRNA from 1 species